rnacentral:rRNA from 1 species
CACGCAGGUGGCUGAGUCAGUCGAUUGUGAAAGCCCUCGGCUUAACCGAGGAACGACGCAUGAAACUGGCAAGCUAGAGUACCAAAGAGGGGGGUGGAAUUCCCGGUGUAGCGGCGAAAUGCGUAGAUAUCGGGAGGAACACCGGUGGCGAAGGCGGCCCCCUGGUUGGAUACUGACGCUGAGACGCGAAAGCGUGGGGAGCAAACA